rnacentral:rRNA from 1 species
UACGUAGGGUGCGAGCGUUGUCCGGAAUUAUUGGGCGUAAAGAGCUCGUAGGCGGCUUGUCGCGUCGACUGUGAAAACCCGCGGCUCAACCGUGUGGCUUGCAGUUGAUACGGGCAGGCUAGAGUUCGGUAGGGGAGACUGGAAUUCCUGGUGUAGCGGUGAAAUGCGCAGAUAUCAGGAGGAACACCGGUGGCGAAGGCGGGUCUCUGGGCCGAUACUGACGCUGAGGAGCGAAAGCGUGGGGAGCGAACAGG